rnacentral:tRNA from 1 species
UCGACUCCUGCUGGGACCCGUUCCCCAGGCCGGGCCGUCAGCGCCCGCCGAGGCCCGGGGUGCACAACUCCGGGUGGGUGCAAAGCCCGGGUGCCGAAC